GACGAACGCUGGCGGCGCGCCUAACACAUGCAAGUCGAGCGAAGCGGCGAACGGGUGAGUAACGCGUGAGGAACCUGCCUCUCACAACGGGAUAGCCUCGGGAAACCGGGAUUAAUACCGUAUGGUGAGAGAUGGCUUCGCGUCUGAUUAGUCAGUUGGUGGGGUAACGGCCUACCAAGACGACGAUCAGUAACCGGCCACGGAGAGUGAACGGUCACUUUGGAACUGGGACACGGUCGAGACUACUACGGGAGGCAGCAGUGGGGAAUGUUGCACAAUGGCGGGUACCCUGAUGCAGCGACGCCGCGUGAGCGAUGAAGGUUUUCGAAACGUAAAGCUCUGUCCUAUGGGAAGCGGUACCAUAGGAGGAAGCCCCGGCUAACUACGUGCCAGCAGCCGCGGUAAUAC
rnacentral:rRNA from 1 species